UCAACCCUCUGCGUUGGGGAGACCCCCAGAACUUUACAUUUCUGUCUGGUGAGCACCAUCUCCGUAGAGUAUAUGGAGCUAUGUGGGAUAUGUGGAUGUGAAGAUAGCACCGCUUAGUCCCAGUUAGACAAGCUGGAAUUAGCACUCCUCUCGUUAAAUAACGCUCUCCCCAGAAGCUCCACGUCUAGUUAAUUAAUUAGAAGUGGCUGUGGUCCACUGCGUGCCAGACUUUCCGACAGUUCACGAUCUAAC